rnacentral:rRNA from 1 species
GACGAACGCUGGCGGCGUGCCUAACACAUGCAAGUCGAACGAAGUGGCGUACGGGUGAGUAACGCGUCAUCAACCUGCCCUUCAGUGGGGGACAACAGUUGGAAACGACUGCUAAUACCGCAUACUGAAGGUGGGGUUUUCGUCUGAUUAGCUAGUUGGAGGGGUAACGGCCCACCAAGGCGAUGAUCGGUAGCUGGUCUGAGAGGAUGAUCGGCCACAGUGGGACUGAGACACGGCCCAGACGCCUACGGGAGGCAGCAGUGGGGAAUCUUCCGCAAUGGACGAAAGUCUGACGGAGCAACGCCGCGUGAGUGAAGAAGGUUUUCGGAUCGUAAAGCUCUGUUGUAAGAGAAGCGGUAUCUUACCAGAAAGCCACGGCUAACUCCGUGCCAGCAGCCGCGGUAAUAC